rnacentral:rRNA from 1 species
CAGGCCUAACACAUGCAAGUCGAACGAUGCUUUCGGGCAUAGUGGCGCACGGGUGCGUAACGCGUGGGAAUCUGCCCUUGGGUUCGGAAUAACAGUUGGAAACGACUGCUAAUACCGGAUGAUGACGUAAGUCCAAAGAUUUAUCGCCUGAGGAUGAGCCCGCGUAAGAUUAGGUAGUUGGUGGGGUAAAGGCCUACCAAGCCGACGAUCCUUAGCUGGUCUGAGAGGAUGAUCAGCCACACUGGGACUGAGACACGGCCCAGACUCCUACGGGAGGCAGCAGUGGGGAAUAUUGGACAAUGGGCGAAAGCCUGAUCCAGCAAUGCCGCGUGAGUGAUGAAGGCCUUAGGGUUGUAAAGCUCUUUUACCCGGGAUGAUAAUGACAGUACCGGGAGAAUAAGCUCCGGCUAACUCCGUGCCAGCAGCCGCGGUAAU